rnacentral:rRNA from 1 species
CAGUGGGGAAUAUUGCACAAUGGGCGCAAGCCUGAUGCAGCAACGCCGCGUGAGGGAUGACGGCCUUCGGGUUGUAAACCUCUUUUAGCAGGGAAGAAGCGAAAGUGACGGUACCUGCAGAAAAAGCGCCGGCUAACUACGUGCCAGCAGCCGCGGUAAUACGUAGGGCGCAAGCGUUAUCCGGAAUUAUUGGGCGUAAAGAGCUCGUAGGCGGUUUGUCGCGUCUGCUGUGAAAUCCCGAGGCUCAACCUCGGGCCUGCAGUGGGUACGGGCAGACUAGAGUGCGGUAGGGGAGAUUGGAAUUCCUGGUGUAGCGGUGGAAUGCGCAGAUAUCAGGAGGAACACCGAUGGCGAAGGCAGAUCUCUGGGCCGUAACUGACGCUGAGGAGCGAAAGGGUGGGGAGCAAACAGGCUUAGAUACCCUGGUAGUCCACCCCGUAAACGUUGGGAACUAGUUGUGGGGUCCAUUCCACGGAUUCCGUGACGCAGCUAACGCAUUAAG